rnacentral:rRNA from 1 species
UACGUAGGGUGCAAGCGUUGUCCGGAAUUAUUGGGCGUAAAGAGCUCGUAGGCGGCUUUGCAAGUCGGGUGUGAAAGCCCUCAGCUCAACUGAGGAAGUGCGCCCGAAACUGCAGAGCUUGAGUGCCGGAGAGGGUGGCGGAAUUCCCCAAGUAGAGGUGAAAUUCGUAGAUAUGGGGAGGAACACCGGUGGCGAAGGCGGCCAACUGGACAGAUACUGACGCUGAGACUCGAAAGCGUGGGGAGCAAACAGG